GUUUUAGAAUGGUCCUAGUUUGUAGGUUUACAUUUCUGUUGAUUUAAGAGCAUAGUGUUAAUAUACGACGUGCUUGGUGAUGGAUAAGGUUUUAUCUUAAAGGAUCUGAAGACUUUCUGGCUUUUGUGAAGUUUCUGAAAAAAAUAGCAUAAUGUGAAGUCAUAAAUAUUGAAUCCUAACGGAUUCCUUUUGAAUUGUCAGAUUGUCAAUUGACAGUUGUCAUCUAUAAGUGGUUCAAACAGCUGUGGAGGUAUUCCAUUUAAUUCUGUAUUAUUGUUAUUCUUAGAGGCCAGUAUUGCACUUGAUGCA
rnacentral:lncRNA from 1 species